AUGCCCUUUAUAUGCUGCUUAAUGCCCCAAGGGGGAUGUGACAGCCUUGUAUGCCUAGUAUAAUGCUCAUGUUUCAUUACAUAUAGAAAUGCUUAUCACUGCUGAAUAACCUAUUCAGGAUGCACCUGUGAUGUUUUUUUUCCCUUAAGAUGGAUGCUUGGCUCCAUGGGCUUGAGAAUUUAAGCGCAAGAACUUUACGGCAGCAAGGAGUGACUGUCUUAGAAAAGAAAACAAGGUAGCUGCAAAGAGACGUUUCUUAUUAUCUAUCACUAAAUGGACUGAAUCCCAACCAUGCAGGCAGUGGCUGUGUCUCUGUGUGUGUUAGCCAGUGAGCCCUUGCUGGAGUGAGCCAUCGUUCCUGACACCUGUAGCUCCAGUGGUGCAGAACUGUCACUGGAAUGUCACUGCCAGGCCAUGAAGGAGUUUGACAAAUUGCCUUGGAUAGGGAACCCACAGAAUGCAACUACACUUCUGUGUUGUUGAUUAUACUUAUUGGCCUGAAUUGCUCAGGAGUUGCUCAUGGUCAAGGAACUGAAGCUUCUUGAAGAUGUCCCCAGGUACCCCCCAAGAAGGACGGCACUGACUUGCUGUGAAAUCCCAAGCAGCAGAGAUGAGGAGCCAGACGGAAAAUCCGUGACACAAUUUCUACACUGCUUCUGAAGCCUUGCGCACUGAAGAGCUAUAAAUGCUACUAAAC
rnacentral:lncRNA from 1 species